GUGUGUGUGUGUGUGUGUGUGUGUGUGUGUGUAUCUGGGGAACAAGAAGACUUGAAUACAGUGCAUCUCAAGCAUUUGUGUAAAUUAAAUAAAUUUGUGUAAUUCAUUAAUUUAUAGAUAUAUUUGUGUGUUUUUCCUUUAUAAUUUAAAAGUGGAAAAUAUGCAUAUUUGCAGUAAAAUCAUAUAGGCAAACAUCAAACAUCCUUUUAUGAUUUAUUUAAUAUACAGCCAAGGCUUUUUAAUUCUCAUCCAUUCCAAACAAGACUUUUCCGGAACUGACAGAACUCCUCAGCAAGCACUCAACAAAAUCUAAAAGUUGUUAAUUUCAAAUAAAAUUAGUUGUUCCUUUUCACUGAGCAUAUUUCAUGGAUUAGUUGAAUUGGUUUUGGGGUGGAUAGAUGCAUAUUUCUUGAAUCCACAAACUUUUGGCAAAAGAGAAGUUGGCCUUAAUUCCAUCUCAUGCUGAAGACUUUUUAACUUUAGUGAGCUUGGCUGGCUGAAGUCCUUGUGCCCGUAAAUUGGAUAUUAGAGGAAGAUAUAAAAGGGGCUAUGUGUGCACUUCUAGCAAGGAAUUAUUGCAUCCAAUAUCCCAUCCGCCUGAGCACAGCCUCAUCUAAUAAAGGCAGAACUAUAUUGGUCCUCAACUUUAUGAAGCUCUAUAUUCACAAGCACUCAAUGGGAUUUGCCUAGGUCUCUCCGGCAGGGGUUAUGACAGUGCAGAUAUCACUGCAUUCUUCUAGCCUCUAAAGUCCCCACUUCCAAUCUGCAUAUAGGCAUCUGAAUUCUAAAGUCACAUUCUUCCUUUUUGUUUGGCUCCAGCUCUGCUGAGAGCUUUAGAACAGCAUGCUCUCUGCUUACUCCAGUGCCCUCCUCUUCAAACACACACACACACACACACACACACACACACACACACACACACACACACACACACACACACACACACACACACACACACACACACACACACACACACACACACACAUAAUCCUAAGAGGGGCAACACCAUCAGAGAGUGUGAAAUUAAAUACAUUAGAGCAUUAGGGAUUAAAGUGUUUUAUAGGCAGUUGCUCAUCCACAUCAAACUUUAGCUUUUUAAACCCUAACAUUUGAUCUGGGUUAGGAACCAAUGGCUAAGAAAGGGACUGAGCCAUUUCCAGAGCCUAUGGAGAAGAGAGAGCAAAACUGUGAGUUCUCACCAUGCCAUCAAGAGGAGCCCUCUCUGUUUAUAUCUGAUACCAAUGCAGAAGCACAGGGGAAAGCUUCACAUCCAGUAACACCAGGAGCCAGAAGUGGGAUCUGACACGUCAAAACAAUCACAUUCUUUCUCUUCUUUGUUCCAUUCCCUCAAUAGUAAUAGAAUGUUAUGUAAGUACCCUUUUUCAACUCAUUUGGUGGGCAUAAUGAUCUUUUAAAAAAAAAAUUGUAGAAAUCCUGCUUUUGCCUGAGUCCUCACCAGUUCUGAUGAUUGUUGAAGAAGUACGUAUACACUGGCUAAUGUACAGGUGGAGAAGGUUUUCUGUCCUAACGGAUUAGGGCAGAAAAUAUAAAGUGGGUGAGUCCAUGAGGAUUAGUCUGAUUUCUUAGCUGUACAGGAUUACAACAGAGUGCUUAACUGUUUACUGCCUUCAUCUGACUAAUGUAAAAUCCAGCAGUAUGCAACUGCAAUUGGCAGGCAUAUGUGCCAACAGGGUUUCUCAGACUUAAACCUAUAAACACGGUUCUAAAGGUGACAAGUCAAUUAUUUACCCCAACUGUAAAUGGAGGUGACCUGAGGAGCUCACACAUACUUAUGUCUAAUAUGUUAACAAUGGCAUAAAACAGGUAAAUAAAACAUCCUCAAACAAGAAGAAUUGAGCCCUAAGCUUCCACAAUGCUGCUGGCAAUUUCAGAAAAAUCUGUAUAAUGUCGACCUUGAUGGGUUUCAUUCAUAGCUUUCCCCAACAUGUUCCCUUUCUUCCUGUUCAAAUUGAGGGAUUAUGGGGAGGAAGUGCUUUGAUAAAACACAAUAGGCAUCUAGCCACUGUUGAUUUGAGGGAUUCAGGAAGCAAAUCCCUCACAAAACCUGAUACAAAGACUGAAAACACUGGAAGGAGUAAAGUGUGUAACUGGACUUGAGUUAAGAUGUUCAGCUGAGGUGUACUCAGACCUUUAAAAAAAUUAACCAAUAUACAACACACAACUAACAAGUAGGCAUAAUUUUUUCAUGUCCACAGAUUGAAAUUACAUCCUGGUGUGGUUUAUAUUUUAAAGAUAUCUGGAAACUAAGAUAAGUACAACAAAGUUUUAAAACACUAAAUGUUUUUGAUUAGGUGUUCAGAGCCUUGGUGAUGUUUUUUAACUACUAUAACUACUUAAGAAGAAGAAGAAGAAGAAGAAGAAGAAGAAGAAGAAGAAGAAGAAGAAGAAGAAGAAGAAGAAGAAGAAGAAGAAGAAACAUACAGUAUUCUAUUUUUUUAAGAAAGAGCUAAUACCAAGAGUAAGAAUUCUAUAACUAUCAGAAUGCAAAUCCUAUGCAAGUCUAUUUUAAGGAUGUAAAAUGCUGAAGAAAUUUGCUCCAGAGGUCUGUGAUGGUCUAUGACAAAAAAAGAACAGCAGUAUUCAAUGAAAAAUGUUGCUUAUAUCUUGUUCAAAAAUGUUUACCAGAUUAUUAAUAGUUGGUUUGGAUAGUUGUGAGACUUAGACAUUUUCACCUUAUUCAUUUCAAUUCUGUCAUCCUUUGGAAGAAACACCGGAAAAUUCAUUUCAGCUAGUCAUCCAUCUCUUUCCCUCUCUCCCUCUCUCUUCUGUCUCCUUGCUUCCUCUGAAGCCUAGUCAAAAAGAAAAGUAAAUAAAGGGACUAAAAUCCAAUUAUUUGAUACUGUUUACUUCAUAUCCUCAUUAAAGCACUCAGAUGUGGCUCUUUUUUCUUGUUCUUCUUAAGCUCGGGUUUCCACCUUUUCAAACAGUGACCCAAGGCCUGCCUUGUCAAGCACCCUUAUCCCAAAAGAAUCAUGGGGUCUUGUAAACAGUCCUGUGAUCCACUUUCUUCUGGGAGUAGAGCUGUAAGGAAGAAGGAAAAGAGGGAGUGCUAGGGAUUUGCAGUGGAUUUACACAUAUACAGUUUCAGCUAAGUUCCCCAAGGUCAGUUUGAGAGACCUUCACCCAUCACUGCUUUAAACAGGGUGUUUGCCACCCAGCCUCAGUGUGGGCAGUUCUGCAUUCAGUGGGCCAGGAAGGGGGAAGCCUGGAACAUCAAACACAGACUCUAAUUUAAAUUCCUCCAUGAGAGCCAUGGGAUUUCAUUUAAUGAGCUGAGAAGCACGGGAAGACAGCUGACUCCUCUGUCAUCCACUGAGAAAGACGCAGGCAGACAUCCCCUACCUCAGGCCCUCCCAGACACACUUACACACACAUACACGAAUGUGUGGGGGCAAGAUGCAGAAUGCAUCAAGGCAGGAGCAUGUGUUUUCCUAGCCAUGGGUAAGGCAGCAAAGCCUAAAUCCUCUAGGCAGACAAGCACAAGAAUGCCUAUGUUAGAGACAUUUAUUCUCAUAUUGGUAAAUGGAAACUGUCUCCAGAGAACAGUCAGUGUCUUUCUCCCAGCAGGAUUCUGGCUCUGAUGUGUUUAAAGGGUUAGCGGGCUAGCAUGUAGCAGAAGACUUUAACUAGUGCUCUGUAAUAGGAGAUAAGCUGAAUCAGAACAAAAAGUGAGCAGAAAGAGUAGAUCAGAGGAGGCAGAGCAAGGGUUUUUUGGCUAGGUGAGCACAAAAAAGCUCUUCUGUUCCUGUGGAUCAUAGGCCUCUGCCAGGGCAUUUUGGCAGCAUGGCGCUUCCCAGGGGCCGAGGAGCCUGCCUAGUCUCACUCUGCCACAUCAGCUGCCAAAUCCCGACCUCACACGCGCACACACCCUUCGUGGUUGCUCUGGUCCUCCUUCCUCACAUAUUCAGGCUAACCCCUCAAAUCUGAAAACUCUUGUAUCCUGGGUUUGACACCACUAAGCCUCCCUUUGGUAGCAGUCUUUUUCUCUCCACUGUUUUCUUUUACUGUUGUUCUUUUUUCCUCGUCUCUCAGUGGAUGUCAUCUCUCUGCAGGAAACGAUACACCACAUCUUGACUAUUUGGCGCCAAACAGAAUGGAGCAACAGAAGGAGGGAGAGGAGGGGUAUGAGAAAAAGAGCAGCGCCUGAAAGAAUCAUCUCGCUUUCAUUAACUCUGCAUGUCGCUCUUUCUCUUUCUCCUGCUCUUGUAUGCUCCAACUCUUUCUGUCUCAGUUUCUUUCUUGCUCAUUUUUUCACACACACACACACACACACACACACACACACACACACACACACACACACACACACACACACACACACACACACACACACACACACACACACACACACACACACAAACUUAAUGAACACACAGUAAACGCAGUAAACUCAACAUGCAAAUACAGUGAACUGUAUACUUGUAUAAUGUAUAUAAAAUGCUGUGCACAAAAUAAUAGAAAACACAUUAAAGCAAAUCAUAAUUACUGUUAACUGAAAAGUUACAAAACAGCUGUAGAAAAGAAGCUGACUAUGAAAACAGCUAUAAGAAAAUGUAUAUGAAUUUUAUUGCAUUUCAUCCUAAUUAUUGCUCUAUCUAAUUUUUGUCCACAUAAUACACAUUAAAUUAAAAUAGCACAUUUUUUAUUAAACAUAUAAUUACUGAAAAGAGUAUCUAAAUCAUUCAAAUAAUUCUAUUAGUUAAAAUAUGGCAAUCCAAACAUCAUGGUUUCUCAGACUAAUAUGUUUUAUAGCUGCUAAAAAGAAUCACAGAAAUCUGCUUUAAAUCAUGCACAACAUUCAUUCAUUCAUUUUCUACCGCUUAUCCGAACUUCCGGGGCAUUCAAUUAAAACUAAAAUAUAAUUCCUUAUGUAUAAUCUGUUGUUGAUUUACUCAUUUACUUUAGAUCAUUUUUCAUGCUGUAUGAUCCAGUCAUUUCUGAUGUUUAAAUGACACACAGACAUGGUAAGAUUAUGUUGUAGACUAUAAGAAGACUAAACAUUCAUUAGUUUUUACUGGUUGCACACUGCUUUGCCUUAUCCCAAAAAAAUUAUACAUCCCCUAGGAGCCUUCAUAGUUGAGAUGAUGAUUUGGUUUUUGGUAUACAGUGAUUUGUUUUCAUUUUCUGUAUUGCUUAGAAAUCUUCACGUCAUCUAUAAUUGUAUUUUUUAGCAUUGCUUUUUUGUAUAAACCAUUUUUGAUCUUUGUUUUUAUAAUAACAAUCAAUUUUUUUGCAUCAACUUGACUGUCUAUUUAAGAUUCUCUGUUAUUUGUUUAGUAACCAUUUUAUGAAAAUCUGACUGAUUACGGACUUACAGAAGUCCGCACUGCAGUUACAUGGAUCUUCCAUAGCCUUUCUUCAAAGGUCCUCUGAAAUAAUGUUCAUGCAGUACUUGUUCCAAAAAGAGCAGCUAUAAAGCACAAGUAGUCAUUUUACAUAGAAAGUCUGGUCAAGACAUAAGCUUGAAAAAACUCAGUCUGUACCAUCUGUACCAUGUUAUCCAAGUAGGUUGAAUUGCUGUUGGUUUAAAUACUCUUUAAUAAAAUAAAAAAUAAAUAAUGAAAAAAAUAAAGUUUUUGGAGAUCAGAUUUUAGCCGUCAUUUACGCAUCAAUCCACAUAUUUCAAAAUGCUUUUUUUCUUUCAGAGACAGAAGCCCAUUGGUUUAAUUUUGGAAUAUGACACUGGUGCUAAUCUCUUCCCCACAGGGAUGAAAUGCAUACACAGAGGUUCCAUUAGAGACUAUUCAUUAAAUCCCAGUGCGAUGCAUGCUGAAUGGGGGAUUACUGGCCCUCUGAUUCCACCAACGAUCUGUACCACUCCCCCAAGCCAAGUACUGCUGACCUCACCCACCAAGUAGGAAGAGAGGGGAAUUGCAAAUCAAAAAGCCUCAAGUUAACUAAUGAGAGGGAACAAUUGCAGGUUAAAUUAUUGAUUGUCAAAGUAAAUAAAUUUGGCUUUAAUUAACCCCAACUGGUGGAAAUCCUCAAGGCGGCCAGCAUAUGUAGUGGCCAAAUUGAGGAUUACACCCAAUCCAUUGGUUCAAUGGAAGAGCAAAAGCUGGCAGAUGGAAAGUGUCCAUUUCAGGUCUGUUUAUGUGUGUUUGUGUGCUACAAAUCUUUAUCAGUGAUAGAGGGAUAUGUGUAUUGGUCUGCUUUGUCAUGCACCUGCUAGAAAAUUCAGCACAGAUUCCAUUGUGAUUGCACAUGAACAAGGAGGUAAGGCAUGAUGUCAGAAAAUAAGAAUUUUGUCAGAAAAAAAAGAUCUGCUUUAUACAUGCCUGCACAUGGAGUGCACUAGUUGGGAAUUCAACAUGAUUGCAAGUAGCCACUGAUCUCUACUAUCUCCACCGGUGACUUGUCUUCUGAGUUUAAUGGAAAAUAUAACGUGGGAAUUGGGAAAAUAUAUUAAGGUAAAUCAUUGAUUCUAAAUUAAUUGCACAUUUGAAAAUAAAGCAGUUUUCUAAAAA